UAUUUUGUCAUGGCUGACUAAUGCAGUGAAUGGAUACUUUAUGAAAUCAUUUUUCUGUCUUCGGUGGAACUUCACUGAAUAGCUCCUAGGCAUCCGUGGGACUUGGCAUGUCCAGGCUGCGCCACCUCCAGAGGUGAUGAAGAUACCAGACCUCUAGCCUGUCUGCAGAGUCUCCAUCCAAGAAAAAUGAAAUCACCUACUCUCCCAAAGAAAAAUCCAAGCCCAGUGUGGUAACACCUCACAGAAGGCCACUGCACCACUCCUGGCCAGCAUAGCCAUGGGGAAUCUACCAUCUUUUUCGUUGUGUGUGAGGUUGUGGCUGGAGACGUCAGUUCAGGCAUUUUGCAAAUGCCCCCAGCCCCUGAAUCAUCACUGUGAGGGAGGCACAUGCUUUACUAAGAACUUGCUGCUCUCCUCCAACCCAAUCUGCUCUACUUGGGGGAGCCAAGUGUCUGCAUCCAGGUACUUGCAGGCAGCACUUUCUCUACAUUGGAUGCCAAGAGUGACAGCAAAUGGCUUUCAAUAACUGAGUGCAGACAUCACACCUGUGUCACUUCUGAAGCCUGCCAGAUAUAUGGGGGCCCAGACUAUCUCAGAAGGAGCCUCACAUGCCUUGCCUGUCAGUUCUGCCAGAUGUGAGAGGAGAGUUGGCCUCCAGCCCUUCCUGCUGUGACUUCAUCACAUCGGGUAAGACCUUCUUGUGGAUCCCAGGCCCUCCAAGUGCUGGCACUAUUCCCACUGGAAAAAUGGAAAGAGCACCUAUGUCCCCAGAGUCAUUCUGUCAAUCCUGAAGAACUUGCCAAGCCUUGCAGCUGCUUGGAUGACAAUGGCUAAAGCCCAGGGCUACACAGGCUGCUGCUUUGUCACAUAAACGACACUGCCUUGAGGUGGACAUAGACUAUGGAGGUCAAUUCCUUGUGUGACAAAGGCAAGCUUUCAGUUGCAUAUAAAGUUCUUCAUGAGAAAAUGACAAGUGCUUCUGUGUGCUUGCUGUCUAUCUUCUUUUCCACACCUGGGAACUGAGGCAGUAAGGGCCCUAGACAUUGGCUUGGGGGUCUUGGGUUGUGACACCACCCUGGAAGACUGUCGCUACAGCUUUG
rnacentral:lncRNA from 1 species